rnacentral:tRNA from 1 species
GGAAAUCAGAUCAUGUUGAUCAAAUGGACUCUAAAUCCGUUUAGCCGGGUUAAAUUCCCGGGGUUUCCG